rnacentral:rRNA from 1 species
GAUCAUGGCUCAGGACGAACGCUGGCGGCGCGCCUAACACAUGCAAGUCGAACGAGCGAGAGAGAGCUUGCUUUCUCGAGCGAGUGGCGAACGGGUGAGUAACGCGUGAGGAACCUGCCUCAAAGAGGGGGACAACAGUUGGAAACGACUGCUAAUACCGCAUAAGCCCACGGCUCGGCAUCGAGCAGAGGGAAAAGGAGUGAUCCGCUUUGAGAUGGCCUCGCGUCCGAUUAG